rnacentral:rRNA from 1 species
AGCAGCCGCGGUAAUUCCAGCUCCAAUAGCGUAUAUUAAAGUUGUUGCAGUUAAAAAGCUCGUAGUUGAACUUCGGGGUCUACCCAUUGGUCAGGCUUAAUUGUCUGCACUGGUGGGAUGGAUCUCUACCUUCUGAGGAACUUUCAUGCCAUUUAUUUGGUGUGAUUGGAAAUCAGGACUGUUACUUUGAAAAAAUUAGAGUGUUUAAAGCAGACUAUCGUCUGAAUACAUUAGCAUGGAAUAAUGAAAUAGGACGGACUGAUUCUAUUUCGUUGGUUUCUAGGAUCACCGUAAUGAUUAAUAGGGAUAGUUGGGGGCAUUAGUAUUCAAUUGUCAGAGGUGAAAUUCUUGGAUUUAUUGAAGACUAACUACUGCGAAAGCAUUUGCCAAGGAUGUUUUCAUUAAUCAAGAACGAAAGUUAGGGGAUCGAAGACGAUCAGAUACCGUCGUAGCCUUAACCAUAAACUAUGCCGACUAGGGAUCGGACGAAGUUAAUUUUAUAAUGACGCGUUCGGCACCU